rnacentral:rRNA from 1 species
AUUGAACGCUGGCGGAAUGCUUUACACAUGCAAGUCGAACGGUAACGCGGGGCAACCUGGCGACGAGUGGCGAACGGGUGAGUAAUAUAUCGGAACGUGCCCAAUAGUGGGGGAUAGCCCGGCGAAAGCCGGAUUAAUACCGCAUGAGACCUGAGGGUGAAAGCGGGGGAUCGCAAGACCUCGCGCUAUUGGAGCGGCCGAUAUCAGAUUAGGUAGUUGGUGGGGUAAAAGCCUACCAAGCCGACGAUCUGUAGCUGGUCUGAGAGGACGACCAGCCACACUGGGACUGAGACACGGCCCAGACUCCUACGGGAGGCAGCAGUGGGGAAUUUUGGACAAUGGGCGCAAGCCUGAUCCAGCCAUGCCGCGUGCGGGAAGAAGGCCUCGGUUGUAACCG